GGCGAGUGAAGCGGCAAAAGCUCAAAUUUGAAAUCUGGUACCUUCGGUGCCCGAGUUGUAAUUUGGAGAGGGCAACUUUGGGGCCGUUCCUUGUCUAUGUUCCUUGGAACAGGACGUCAUAGAGGGUGAGAAUCCCGUGUGGCGAGGAGUGCGGUUCUUUGUAAAGUGCCUUCGAAGAGUCGAGUUGUUUGGGAAUGCAGCUCUAAGUGGGUGGUAAAUUCCAUCUAAAGCUAAAUAUUGGCGAGAGACCGAUAGCGAACAAGUACAGUGAUGGAAAGAUGAAAAGAACUUUGAAAAGAGAGUGAAAAAGUACGUGAAAUUGUUGAAAGGGAAGGGCAUUUGAUCAGACAUGGUGUUUUGUGCCCUCUGCUCCUUGUGGGUAGGGGAAUCUCGCAUUUCACUGGGCCAGCAUCAGUUUUGGUGGCAGGAUAAAUCCAUAGGAAUGUAGCUUGCCUCGGUAAGUAUUAUAGCCUGUGGGAAUACUGCCAGCUGGGACUGAGGACUGCGACGUAAGUCAAGGAUGCUGGCAUAAUGGUUAUAUGCCGCCCGUCUUGAAAC
rnacentral:rRNA from 1 species